UUACAUACCUGGACGGGGUCAUAAUGGGUGAUCAAGUAGGCCCAUGGCCUAGGCUGGUGACUUCCAUUGCACAUUUAACGGAAGGGUGCUGGCCUAAGGUCGGCCCAUUGUGGUCGAUCCUACGUCGUAAUUUGUGGCAGCGGGGUUUGCGUACGCGCGACCCCUUC